UACGGAGGGGGCCAGCGUUGCUCGGAAUUACUGGGCGUAAAGGGCUCGUAGGCGGCUUGAUAAGUCCUGUGUGAAAUCCCCUGGCUCAACCAGGGAACUGCACCGGAUACUGUCGAGCUUGAGGCCGGGAGAGGGAAGCGGAAUUCCCAGUGUAGCGGUGAAAUGCGUAGAUAUUGGGAGGAACACCGGUGGCGAAGGCGGCUUCCUGGACCGGUUCUGACGCUGAGGAGCGAAAGCUAGGGUAGCAAACAGG
rnacentral:rRNA from 1 species